rnacentral:lncRNA from 1 species
UCCUUAGGUGGAGCUGGAAAGGUGGAGGCGGAAGUGACUGAUCAAUUCAGGGGCGUGGGGUUCGUUUAGGUUUUGCCCUGUGUAUGACCUCGUUUGGAGCCAUGAAACCAGGUGGCUUUUCUACAAUAUAAAGAUGGAAAUGGGAAGAAGAUGUUCAUUGCAAAUUAAGGAAGCUCUUCCACGAGUUCACGAAUGGAAAUAACAUCAAGAGUUUUUCAUCUUCUUAGUGUGCAAGGUUAUUUUAGGGCAAUGAUGGAAAGCACCAAGUGGAGUCUGGAGCUAGACUGAUCUGUGUUCAAUCCUGUCUUGGUUACUCAUUGGGGGGCCUCGACUUUCAUGUCUCUGUAAUGUCCCUGACAGUAUCUGCCUCACAGGGUUGCUGUGAGAGUCAAGCGAGAUGUCUGAGGAAUAGUCUUAGUGGAUUAUCCCAAACUUGACACAUUUUUUGCAAAAUGCUAUACAAAAAGAAGAUACAUGCGAUUAUGACAAGAUUCUCCACUUGGUGUGACCAGUCUCAUACAACCCAAGGCUGUGUGUCCAAAGGCAACUGUACUGAAUACCGGAAAGCAUGUAUUUGUUUGCUAAAUUGCUCUCUUUCCACCAGUGAUAUCAAUUCUGAAAUACUUUUGAGUAAGUUUGGAAUUACUAGAAAAACAGUGAAUGUAAAUGUGAAGGUGUAUGAUUCUUGGAAAGUUCAGAGGGAGUACAUUGACGGGUGUUUGGAUCAAAUUCCACUAACUUGAAUGAAUUACCUUGGAAAAUUAUCUCUACAAAUUCUUACUUACAUUUCUGACUGUCAGGUUAAAGUGAAUAAUUAUUUUCUGUAUACCAAGAUAUGAUUUUGAAGCAUCUAUGUUUUGCCCUAUUCUUUUGAGAGGGAAACUAGCUCUGUUUCAUGUGCUGGUUUUCCAUGUCUGAUACUUGAUGUUUCUGUUUCUGUGAUGUAAUUUAUGCAAGAUAGAUAAGAUAGAUGUUGAAAAGGGA